CCAUUGGUACAUGGAAUGUGAGGACCAUGUACGAGUUAAGAAAGACGGCGCAGGUCUCAGCAGAGAUGACCCUACUAGGCAUUAGCGAGACAAGAUGGACACAAGCUGGACAGAGACGAUUGUUGACAGGAGAGCUGUUGCUGUAUUCUGGACAUGAAGAGAGUGACGCACCCCACACACAGGGAGUAGGCUUCAUGUUGUCCAAGCAGGCACAGAGAGCACUGAUUGGUUGGGAGGCACAUGGUUCCAGGAUUAUCACAGCAUCCUUCAGAACUAAAAUGAAGAGGAUUAAGAUGAAUGUUGUACAGUGCUAUGCUCCAACCAAUGACAGUGAAGAGGGGGACAAAGACUAUUUUUACAACAGACUUCAGAAAAUAUUAGAGAUUCUCCCAGACAAAGACAUUACCAUCCUUAUGGGAGACUUUAAUGCCAAAAUUGGACCUGACAACACAGGAUAUGAACAACUCAUGGGGACCACGCUUUGGGAGAGAUGAGUGAGAAUGGAGAGAGAUUUGUGGAUUUGUGUGCACUUAACCUGGUCAUAGGAGGUAGUAUCUUUCCUCACAAGCGGAUCCACAAGAGUACCUGGGUAUCGCCAGCAGGCACUAUAGAAAACCAGAUCGAUCAUGUCUGUAUUAUUAAGAAGUUCAGAAGAUCUUUGCAGGACGUUAGAGUUAGAAGAGGAGCAGAUGUACCGUCCGACCAUCACUUAGUGGUGGCUAGAUUGAAGCUGAAGCUGAAGAAGAACUGGAUAGACGCGUCAGAUAGAAGAGCGAAGUACAACAUCAGCUUUUUGAAGGAUCAUAAGACCAAGGAAGAUUUUGGACUGACGCUGAAGAAUAAGUUUUCAGUACUACAGGAUCGGUCUGAGGAAGAGGAAGACAGUGUAUCGAACAGAUGGCAGAAAGUGAGAGAGACACUUAGGUCAGCAUGCCAGGAAGUGCUUGGAAUCAAGAAAUACCAGCAGAAAGAGUGGAUCACAGCAGAGACCUUGACUAAUAUAGAAGAUAGAAAGAAGAAGAAGGCAGUAGUUAAUAACAGCAGGACUAGAGCAGCAAAGGCUAAAGCACAAGAAGAGUAUGCUGAAGCCCAUAAAGUAGUGAAGAGGAAUAUUAGGAAGGAUAAGAGAGAUUAUGUGGAUGGACUGGCAGCAGAAGCGGAACAGGCAGCAUACAAUGGUAAUAUGAAACAGCUGUAUGACAUCACCAAGCGACUGUCUGGAAAGUUCAGCAAACCAGAGCGUCCCGUCAAAGACAAGCAGGUAAAGUCUAUAACAGAAAUAGAACAACAGAUGAAUAGAUGGGCGGAGCACUUUGAGGAACUCCUAAAUAGACUAGCACCACUAAAUCCACCAGACAUUAACCCAGCCAAUGAAGACCUUCCAAUCAAUUGUGAUAGACCUACCAGAGAUGAGAUCAGAAAAGCCGUCACUAUGAUGAAGAACAGGAAAGCGGCUGGACCUGACGAUAUUCCAGCAGAGGCCCUGAAAGUAGAUCUGGAUGCUUCAGUGGAAAUGCUGUACCCACUUUUUGAGAAGAUAUGGGAAGAAGAAGUGAUUCCGGCAGACUGGAAAGAGGGAUACCUUAUUAAAAUCCCCAAGAAAGGAGACCUCAGCAAUUGUGCCAACUACAGAGGAAUCACACUUCUGUCGGUGCCACGGAAGGUCUUCAACUGUGUUCUCUUAGAGAGAAUAAAGGAUGCCAUCGA
ensembl:lncRNA